CCAAUAGCGUAUAUUAAAGUUGUUGCAGUUAAAAAGCUCGUAGUUGAAUUUCGGGAUCAAUACGUCGGUCGUGCUUUCGGGUACGUACUGGCGUCAUUGGUUUCUCCUUUCUGACGAACCAUGAUGUCAUUAAUUUGGUGUUAUGGGGAGUUAGGACUGUUACUUUGAAAAAAUUAGAGUGUUUAAAGCAGGCAUUAGCUUGAAUACAUUAGCAUGGAAUAAUGAAAUAGGACGUUCGAUCCUAUUUUGUUGGUUUCUAGGAUCAACGUAAUGAUUAAUAGGGAUAGUUGGGGGCAUUAGUAUUCAAUUGUCAGAGGUGAAAUUCUUGGAUUUAUUGAAGACUAACUACUGCGAAAGCAUUUGCCAAGGAUGUUUUCAUUAAUCAAGAACGAAAGUUAGGGGAUCGAAGACGAUCAGAUACCGUCGUAGUCUUAUCCAUAAACUAUGCCGACUAGGGAUCGGAUGAUGUUAAUUUUUUAAUGACUCGUUUGGCACCUUACG
rnacentral:misc_RNA from 1 species